rnacentral:rRNA from 1 species
GAUGAACGCUGGCGGCGUGCCUAACACAUGCAAGUCGAGCGCGUCUGAUUUGAUGCUUGCAUUAAUGAAAGAUGAGCGGCGGACGGGUGAGUAACGCGUGGGUAACCUGCCCUAUACACAUGGAUAACAUACUGAAAAGUUUACUAAUACAUGAUAAUAUAUAUUUACGGCAUCGUAGAUAUAUCAAAGUGUUAGCGGUAUAGGAUGGACCCGCGUCUGAUUAGCUAGUUGGUGAGAUAACUGCCCACCAAGGCGACGAUCAGUAGCCGACCUGAGAGGGUGAUCGGCCACAUUGGAACUGAGACACGGUCCAAACUCCUACGGGAGGCAGCAGUGGGGAAUAUUGCACAAUGGGCGCAAGCCUGAUGCAGCAACGCCGCGUGAACGAUGAAGGUCUUCGGAUCGUAAAGUUCUGUUGCAGGGGAAGAUAAUGACGGUACCCUGUGAGGAAGCCCCGGCUAACUACGUGCCAGCAGCCGCGGUAAUACGUAGGGGGCUAGCGUUAUCCGGAUUUACUGGGCGUAAAGGGUGCGUAGGUGGUCUUUCAAGUCGGUGGUUAAAGGCUACGGCUCAACCGUAGUUAGCCUCCGAAACUGGAAGACUUGAGUGCAGGAGAGGAAAGUGGAAUUCCCAGUGUAGCGGUGAAAUGCGUAGAUAUUGGGAGGAACACCAGUAGCGAAGGCGGCUUUCUGGACUGCAACUGACACUGAGGCACGAAAGCGUGGGUAGCAAACAGGAUUAGAUACCCUGGUAGUCCACGCUGUAAACGAUGAGUACUAGGUGUCGGGGGUUACCCCCCUCGGUGCCGCAGCUAACGCAUUAAGUACUCCGCCUGGGGAGUACGCACGCAAGUGUG